CUGAAUAUUAAAGGAAAUCAUCUGGUUUAAUUUCUACACAACAGAUACAGUUAGGUUAUUAUUAUAUAAAAACCAAAAUUUCCCCCCAACAUCUCCAUUGGAGAAAGAAGAGUGGAAGCCCAGCUUUAGACCCACUUCCACUCCUUUUUCCUCCCUAGCCAUUGGUUUUAAAAUGGUAAGAUACUAGGGAUUUUGGUUGCGGACAAUCCUGCGAGUUGUCCUGAGGGUUGCUGAAUUGGUGACCCCUCUGGCAUUCCAAAUAAGGGUACUAUCCAUCCGUAACAUUUUUGGAAUUAACAACUUGCCUCUUUAGUCUUCUAAGCUUCCCGUUCCAUUCUUCUAGAGCAUCUGCUGGUGGUUCUGAGAAGAUAGGGAGUCUAAGUCAAGGUUAGGGGAUCUGCAUUAUGUAAGGGAUCAUCUCCAUUUCUCUGGUUGGCGAGGUAAGGGGAGAGGUCCACUGUGAGAUCCAGGGGAACAUCUACCAGUCUGCUAUUCUGAGUUCCUUUUAGUAAAUCACCUCUGUCUACACUAUAGAGGGAGAAGGGAAGAUCUCCAAGUUCCUUCCUCCUGUAAUCAAUCCCAUAUUUCAUAAUUUGAAGAGGAGAAUUGCCUUCAAAUCGUGAGAG